rnacentral:lncRNA from 10 species
UGGUCUAAGGCGCCAGACUCAAGCUAAGCUUCCUCCGCGGUGGGGAUUCUGGUCUCCAAUGGAGGCGUGGGUUCGAAUCCCACUUCUGACACAUACUUUUCUUUUUCCUCUCCUUACUUUAGAGAUAUCCUGAUCUCAGCAGUAGGCAUAAACAAUUACCAACGUAUAUUUUUAAGAAUCGGCUUUUAGGUACCGGGCGCGGUGGCUCACGCCUGUAAUCCUAGCACUUUGGGAGGCCGAGACGGGUGGAUCACGAGGUCAGGAGAUCGAGACCAUUCUGGCUAACACGGUGAAACCUCGUCUCUACUAAAAAUACAAAAAAAAUAGCUGGGCGUGGUGGCGGGCGCCUGUAGUCCCAGCUACUCGGGAAUGAGGCAGGAGAAUGGCGUGAACCCGGGAGGCGGAGCGUGCAGUGAGCCAAGAUCGCGCCACUGCACUCCAGCCUGGGGACAGAGCGACACUCCGUCUCAAAAAAAAAAAAAAAAAAAAAGAAUUGGCUUUUAAAUUUAUCUCAAAGGGCUUGUCCAAACUAAAAACAUUAAAAGCGGAAGCAUCGCGAUAUUUUUACGAAGCCGCGAGAUUUGGGCCAAAAAACGCCUAAUUAAAGGCAGAGGUUACUAGCGAUUGGUCUCUGUGCUGCAGUGCGAGAUAAUCCUGAUGUCGCGGGAUUCGGAACGCAGAUAGCUUCCUGCCUCGCCGAGGGAAUGGAGAGAAGGGGCUCUGGGCGGGUUCUUUUCCCGCUUCUCGACCAGGCUCACACUCUGUGUCUCAGAUCCAAGCCCUCCCCUAGAUAUUUCCUGGAGCACUUUCCUACCAAUCUCACAACGCUGUGGCUCGUGACAGUGCAGUCUCUUUAAAAAUCUUACACAGAAGAAAUAUUGCUGGCCGGGUGCAGUGGCUCAGGCCUGUAAUCCCAGCACUUUGGGAGGCCGAGGCGGGCGGAUCACGAGGUCAGGAGAUUGAGACCAUCUUGGCUAACACAGUGAAACCCCGUCUCUACUAAAAAUAUUAAAAAAUACAAAAAAUUAGCCGGGUGUGGUGGUGGGUGCUUGUAGUCCCAGCUACUCGGGAGGCUGAGGUAGAAGAAUCGCCUAAACCCGGGAGGCGGAGCUUGCAGUGAGCCCACAUUGCCCGCUGCACUCCAGCCUGGGCAACAGAGUGAGACUCCGUCUCAAAAAAAAUAAUUAAUAAAUAAAUAAAUAAAUAAAUAAAUAAAUAAAUAAAUAAAACCCUAUGGUAG